rnacentral:rRNA from 1 species
UGAGCAACCUGCCCUUAGCUCUGGGAUAACCCCGGGAAACCGGGGCUAAUACCGGAUACGAGUCCGAGCGGCAUCACGCGGACUGGAAAGUUUUUCGGCUAAGGAUGGGCUCGCGGCCUAUCAGCUUGUUGGUGGGUAAUGGCCUACCAAGGCGACGACGGGUAGCCGGCCUGAGAGGGCGACCGGCCACACUGGGACUGAGACACGGCCCAGACUCCUACGGGAGGCA